GGAUUGGAAUGGGCGCAGCCUGAUCCAGCCAUGCCGCGUGAGUGAUGAAGGCCUUAGGGUUGUAAAGCUCUUUCGGCGGGGAAGAUAAUGACGGUACCCGCAGAAGAAGCCCCGGCUAACUUCGUGCCAGCAGCCGCGGUAAUACGAAGGGGGCUAGCGUUGCUCGGAAUCACUGGGCGUAAAGCGCGCGUAGGCGGGUCGUUAAGUCGGGGGUGAAAUCCUGGAGCUCAACUCCAGAACUGCCUUCGAUACUGGCGAUCUCGAGUCCGGGAGAGGUGAGUGGAACUCCGAGUGUAGAGGUGAAAUUCGUAGAUAUUGGGAAGAACACCGGUGGCGAAGGCGGCGCUCUGGACCGAGACUGACGCUGAGGCGCGAAAGCGUGGGGAGCAAACAGGAUUAGAUACCCUGGUAGUCCACGCGGUAAACGAUGUGUGCUAGACGUUGGGGAGCCUAGCUCUUCGGUGUCGCCGCUAACGCUUUAAGCACACCGCCUGGGGAGUACGGCCGCAAGGUUAAAACUCAAAAGAAUUGACGGA
rnacentral:rRNA from 1 species